rnacentral:tRNA from 1 species
AGAAAUAUAACCCAAAUAAAGCUGCUAACUUUAUUUUUAGUGAAUAAAUCCAUUAAUAUUUCU